rnacentral:rRNA from 1 species
UACGUAGGGGGCAAGCGUUGUCCGGAAUCAUUGGGCGUAAAGAGCGUGUAGGCGGCUCGGUAAGUCCGCUGUAAAAGUCCAGGGCUCAACCCUGGAAAGCCGGUGGAAACUGUCGAGCUAGAGUCCGGAAGAGGCGAGUGGAAUUCCUGGUGUAGCGGUGAAAUGCGCAGAUAUCAGGAGGAACACCAAUGGCGAAGGCAGCACUCUGGGACGGUAUUGACGCUGAGACGCGAAAGCGUGGGGAGCGAACAGG